rnacentral:lncRNA from 1 species
AAGACCUAAUCUGAGAAGAGAGCCGCCCCUCCCCUUCAAAAUUCCAUCAUCUCUUUCUCUGAACUUAAGGAAAUAUUGCUGCAUCUCCAAGCCAAAACAGAACAGCCUGAGACUUCUUCUUCUUCCUUAAAACCUCACUAAUAAAAUAGCCAUGAACACCCUAAAAGAUGCUUCGAAUUGCAGCAAAACACCUCAAACAACUCCAAAAAAUGAGCUGAAAAACUGCCAUAAAAUCUCACAUUUUUUCACUUAAAACCAGCCCUCUUUUGCCCAUGAAACCAGUCCAAAAAUGACCUAAAACAACUCUAUUUCCUAGUGAAAUUAGAUGCAAAAUCAGCAGCAAAUCACCUCUGAAAAAACCAGCAAACUUCAGCCUUCAAAACCAUUGAAGACAGCCUAAAAACGGGCUGGAAAUCCAGCACCAAAUCCAUCCAAAAAACAGCCAUUAGCGCCACUUGAAAUGGCCCUAAACCAGCUGCAAAGAAUCAACCAAAUGUCCCUUAAACCGCAGCUCAAAUUGCUAUCAAUUUCGCCGCAAAAUAGUCCGUAAAUAGCCCCCCUAAAACCGGCGAGCUUUGAGGUUGUUGGCGAGGUUUCGUUCGUGGUUUCGACAAAGUUUUUCGUUCAUAGCUCCUGUCUCGGCCAAGCAAUAUGUAAUUGAGAUGCUAUGGUUGAAAGCAUUGUUUUACACUAAUUUUAUCUCCAUAUUCAUUUUGCUAGUUUAACGAAUGGUUUUUGAUAAAUUAUUGCUCUUCUGUUAGUUUGUCUUUCGUAGUAGUCUUAAUUAGUUAGUCUUUUGUCUUAUGCCAUAACUUGAUUUGCGAG